ACUUCAAUCACUGAUUCCGGGUCAGACGUUAGUAAAUGAAUUACUUUAAUAACUAAAGCAAAUUCGAGAUUAGUCGUAAAACUACUCAACGCUAUGGUGAUAAUUCAUAGUUGAUUGUAACACCACACGUAUGUAUUUAUUUUAAACAUAAUGUUUAAAUUAAAUAAUAAUUAGAGUGUGGCUGUAACGUGUCUCAAUAUUGUUUUAGAGACCAGCUGUAAACCACUCAUACAUUUUUAGAAAAUAUUAAAAUUAUAUACAAAAAUGUUAAUACCAAGUAUGUCUUUGUAGAAUGAACAAUUCGAAAAAUUUCCCAGAGUUAAAAACAAACAAACUACUUUAAAAACUAAAAAUAGUCUAGAACGAGGAGCAGACAAGACGGUUAUUGAAAAAAAAAAUUAAUAAGAAAAACCGAUGAAAUUAGUCAUACAAAGAAUAAUAAAAUGUAUGAUAAUCGUAUAAAUUGAUUAUUUGUUUUUCAUAUAGAAUACGUCAUACAGAGAGUGUGUAUAAUUAUAAUUAUAAUUAUGAUCUUUUAAAAUCAUAAGAUUAUGAAUCAGAAGUAAAGAAUUGGAUUACUUUCCACAAGGUGGUGGUACUGUAACAAUAAAAUGUUCUUUUGAAGAAAAACCAACAGAAUACUGGAGCUUGGUUCAUUAUAAAAGCUCUAACAUCGAGAGUGUACCUGUGAAACACUGAAACACUGGUAAGUACAAGACAUUGAGAUCUUAAAUUUGAAAAAAUGAAUGUUUAAAAAAAGAUAUUUCAAUAAACGUUUCAAAUGACAAAGCUUACCGUUCGAUUUAAAUCAAAUAUCAUUAUAUGAACUAUGUAAAAUGUCAAAAUUAAAUAUAAUCUAUACAAUCGAAACAUUAAUAUUCGAAAUAAUUAGCUAGCCGUCGACUGUGUACGGCUGCUGCGAGUGUAGGGAUCUCUAAGAGCAUGAGAUAAUAGUCACAAUCAUAAUAAUUAAAACACGGGUACUUAUUACCACAUACAACGAGGUUCUAGAAAGGAACGUCACACACAUAAUAUUUUAUAAGCCUUACAAAUCAAAAUACAUAUAUUGUCGCCGUGAUAUCGACCAUCGAACACUACCCCGGAUGAACACAAACCAGAUGCAGAGAAUCACUCCAAAAACCGUCGCAUAAGGUCAGUGAUCGAAUAUAUAUAUAUAUAUAUAAUAAGUAUAACAUUAGGUCUGAUAAUAACUUACAAGUUAUUCAAAAUAUAUACUAACCGUAGAUACCGUAGUCAUAGAAUAAUCGUGCCUAGAGUGGAAGUAACAAGAUUAUAGAAAAAAAAAAAAAAAAAGAAUUUCUUU